rnacentral:tRNA from 57 species
GGGGGUAUAGCUCAGCUGGGAGAGCGCUUGCAUGGCAUGCAAGAGGUCCGCGGUUCGAUCCCGCGUACCUCCACCA